CAAGCAGUGGGUGAGGGCGGGCUUUGCUUUUAGUUUCCAGCAGGGCCAGCCUCAGUGUGAGGACCAGAGCCACGGCAGCCCAGAAAGUAACAGAUGGGUGAAGAAGUCACAUGACUGUUGCCUGGGGAGACAAUUUGGGAACAGUCACCCAAGCAGGACAAGUGAGGGGCUGCUUCUCUCAAGGGGCGAUGAUGGCCUUCCAGGAGAAGAUGUGGGGAUGCCCCUGAAAACACGGCUUCAUGGAUCAACAGAGGGAGCCUUGUUACAGGGCUGAGGCCCCUGGCCACGCCCUGGGCAGCAGCCCUGAGGACAGGUCAGGAGCCAUUUUCACUAGGUUGCCAGGGUCCUUUCAGCUCCAGCAAAUAACACAGCAAGCUCCGGGGCUCACUCCGCCGCAGGGACAGGAGCUCUGCAGUCUCGAGGCGUGUCUCAGAAGAACAGGGCCAGCCUUGUCAUCCAGCAUGAAGUCCCGGGAGAAAAAAAUACCAGCACAGUUGACAGCAGUGACUCACCUUCUUCCUCCGAAGUGGCUCUGAAUUCAGAUGCGGCCCACACUGAUGAUUUGCUGAAAGAAAGAAUGAGCCGUAUACCCACUAACUUCCAAACACGCGCCCUGCCAAGAGCAGAUGAGUUCUGUGGCCAAAGAACAGCUUACUUUCUGUUUGACCACCAGAAGAAAUUCUAACCCCGGAUACCGGAAUAUCUCACCCAUUUUUAAAACCAACACAUUCAAAAGUACAUUUUAAGAGCAAUCAGCCCACCUUUCCAUGGCUUUUUGUGGCAGCGUCUGUGCCUCGAAAACCUUUUUUUUUUUUUCCCUCGAUGGGUAAGGUGAUGCUUCUUUCUAAAGCAACUCUCCUAUGAAACGUGAAGACAAGAAACGGAAAUAUCAUUCUCAGGGUUAAAAAGAUUUUUCAUCAGUUCACUAAAUAGUGUGUUUGCGCUAACUUAAAGAAACUAGAUAAAAUAUAUUUCUAUCUCUGCUAGCCAUCUCUCAGCAUGUCCGCUUGUCUGAAGCCUCCCCGAGAUCCAGCAGAGACAGCGUGUAAGCUGUUCCUCAGGCGGCGUCUGAAAGCUCAUCAAAUAGCCAGGUAGGAAAAACACAAUCACCUCCAAAACCUUCGAAUGGCAUUGAUCUGUGGCAUUAAGCCCUCGCCACAGGAAGAUAAACGAUGGAUUUGAGACUCGCGGGAGGAUUCGUUUAAAGUGCUUUGUGUUUUUUUUUUUUUUAAUUUAUGUAUGAAGUUGCCCAGGAGUAAUAAAUAGACCUUAUUUACUAUAUUUCGAAGAAAUAGAAUUAUCAGGACUGUCUACGUAUUUCAAAGCC